GAUAGCAAAAAAUGUAGACAGCCAAUUCAUUCACAAACAUAUUUUUUCGCUGAUGGUAGGUAUAUAAGUUUCAAAUAGAACGCUUCGUUCGGUAUUUGGUCUUCUUACGUUAUUUGGCGAUUUCAAAGUGGUUCUAGAAUAAAAUUUGGUGAAAAAUUCCACAGUUAAAAGAGAAGAAUUCGAAGCAGCAGUGGCAACGAAAAUUCUUCCAGGAAGUCAAUUCACAAGCCAAGAAGCCACACGAUGUUAACAAUGUUCGAAAUCACAGCAUAUUUCUUAUAUUAUUAUUUCAAGAUAAUAUUUUUGUAUGUCAUGCUAUUACGUGAAGUCUUAAUCUACUUCAUGAUAAUAUUUUCGACCUUCGUAUUGGGAAUUAUGGAUUGCUUUGACAGCUUGUCAACAAACAGUAAACUUUUUUGCAGAUAAGUGUUUUGAAAUGAAUGAACUUUCUGUAUUAUCUCUUCUGUGAUAACAAAAAUGAUGUAAAAUUGUGUAAUUAGUUGAUAUACAUUGAAUAUUUUAUUGGGUUCUUUUCGAAUAAUCUAGACAGUAGUUUGUUUCUUGAGAGGAACAUGAAAAUUUUGUUAUUUUCUUGAGGUGGAUAUUGAAUGUGAUGUUAUUCUACGAAUUGUUAUAUCUCAAGUAUUUUUAUGAAUAAAUGUUGUUACUUAAUA